rnacentral:rRNA from 1 species
UACGAAGGGGGCUAGCGUUGUUCGGAAUUACUGGGCGUAAAGCGCGUGUAGGCGGGUCUUUAAGUCAGAGGUGAAAUCCUGGAGCUCAACUCCAGAACUGCCUUUGAUACUGAGGAUCUUGAGUUCGGGAGAGGUGAGUGGAACUGCGAGUGUAGAGGUGAAAUUCGUAGAUAUUAGGAAGAACACCAGUGGCGAAGGCGGCUCACUGGCCCGGUACUGACGCUGAGGCGCGAAAGCGUGGGGAGCAAACAGG